rnacentral:lncRNA from 1 species
AUGAAGAAACUUGUGACAACAUGCCAAUGUAAAAAGCUGUGUCGCAGGGACACGUCCCGUCAGAGCUCGCAGGGACACGUCCCGUCAGAGCUCGCAGGGACACGUCCCGUCAGAGCUCGUAGGAGCAGGGACACGUCCCGUCAGAGCUCGCAGGAGCAGGGACACGUCCCGUCAGAGCUCGCAGGAGCAGGGACACGUCCCGUCAGAGCUCGCAGGAGCAGGGACACGUCCCGUCAGAGCUCGCAGGAGCAGGGACACGUCCCGUCAGAGCUCGCAGGAGCAGGGACACGUCCCGUCAGAGCUCGCAGGAGCAGGGACACGUCCCGUCAGAGCUCGCAGGGACACGUCCCGUCAGAGCUCGCAGGAGCAGGGACACGUCCCGUCAGAGCUCGCAGGAGCAGGGACACGUCCCGUCAGAGCUCGCAGGAGCAGGGACACGUCCCGUCAGAGCUCGCAAGAGCAGGGACACGUUCCGUCAGAGCUCGCAGGAGCAGGGACACGUCCCGUCAGAGCUCGCAGGAGCAGGGACACGUCCCGUCAGAGCUCGCAGGAGCAGGGACACGUCCCGUCAGAGCUCGCAGGAGCAGGGACACGUCCCGUCAGAGCUCGCAGGAGCAGGGACACGUUCCGUCAGAGCUCGCAGGAGCAGGGACACGUUCCGUCAGAGCUCGCAGGAGCAGGGACACGUUCCGUCAGAGCUCGCAGGAGCAGGGACACGUCCCGUCAGAGCUCGCAGGAGCAGGGACACGUCCCGUCAGAGCUCGCAGGAGCAGGGACACGUCCCGUCAGAGCUCGCAGGAGCAGGGACACGUCCCGUCAGAGCUCGCAGGAGCAGGGACACGUCCCGUCAGAGCUCGCAGGAGCAGGGACACGUCCCGUCAGAGCUCGCAGGAGCAGGGACACGUUCCGUCAGAGCUCGCAGGAGCAGGGACACGUUCCGUCAGAGCUCGCCGGAGCAGGGACACGUCCCGUCAGAGCUCGCAGGAGCAGGGACACGUCCCGUCAGUCAUUAAGCAUCUUACAAGAUAUCCGGAGUAG